rfam:Trichobilharzia regenti genome assembly, scaffold: TRE_scaffold0054823
AUACUGAUGAAGAGUCCCAAACUAGGAUGAAACAGCUGUCCAGUAC